UACGUAGGGACCAAGCGUUGUUCGGAUUUACUGGGCGUAAAGGGCGCGUAGGCGGCUUAACAAGUCACUUUGUGAAAUCUCCGGGCUUAACUCGGAACGGUCAAGUGAUACUGUCGGACUAGAGUACAGAAGGGGCAACUGGAAUUCUCGGUGUAGCGGUGAAAUGCGUAGAUAUCGAGAGGAACACCUGCGGCGAAGGCGGUUCUCUGGGCCGGUACUGACGCUGAGGAGCGAAAGCGUGGGGAGCAAACAGG
rnacentral:rRNA from 1 species